rnacentral:rRNA from 1 species
UACGUAGGGUGCGAGCGUUAAUCGGAAUUACUGGGCGUAAAGCGUGCGUAGGCGGUUCGCUGUGUCCGAUGUGAAAUCUCCGGGCUUAACUCGGAAAGGUCAACUGAUACUGCGCGGCUAGAGUGCGGAAGGGGCAACUGGAAUUCUCGGUGUAGCGGUGAAAUGCGUAGAUAUCGAGAGGAACACCUGCGGCGAAGGCGGGUUGCUGGGCCGACACUGACGCUGAUGCGCGAAAGCCAGGGGAGCGAACGGG